rnacentral:rRNA from 1 species
GACGAACGCUGGCGGCGUGCUUAACACAUGCAAGUCGAACGGAAAGGCCCUGCUUUUGUGGGGUGCUCGAGUGGCGAACGGGUGAGUAACACGUGAGUAACCUGCCCUUGACUUUGGGAUAACUUCAGGCAACUGGGGCUAAUACCUGCUAGGAGCUCCUGCUGCAUGGUGGGGGUUGGAAAGUUUAGGGUGUUGGGGAUGGACUCGCGGCUUAUCAGCUUGUUGGUGGGGUAGUGGCUUACCCAGGCAUUGACGGGUAGCCGGCCUGAGAGGGGAGACGGGCACAAGGGGACUGAGAGACGGCGCAGACGCCAACGGGAGGCAGCGGGGGGGAAUAUUGCACAAUGGGGGGAAGCCUGUGGCGGCAGCGCCGCGUGCGGGAUGACGGCCAUGGGGUUGUAAACCGCUGUCGGCUGAGACGAAGCGGUUGUGACGGUAAUGGGUAAAGAAGCACCGGCUAACUACGUG